CUGCUUUCAAAUCCCAGUCCUUCCUGAGGGACAAUGAAGGAUUGGGGAGAGUCAGAGGAAGUUUUUUGAUGAGAAAUCAAAAGUUUAAAGGAUCUUAGUGUUCCCUGAUCUUCCUUUGCUUCUGCUGACUACAAUACCCUUUGUUUCACAAGAUUGGACCCAACAGGCUAGCUGAACUGAUCAUUGUGGUUGAGCUUUGCUGAAGCUAUCGAGUCUGACCUCUUGAGAAGCUCUCGAUCACAUUUGUUGAUAUUAACCUACUGACUAUGAGACCUU
rnacentral:lncRNA from 1 species